rnacentral:rRNA from 1 species
UGAGGAAUAUUGGUCAAUGGGCGGGAGCCUGAACCAGCCAAGCCGCGUGAGGGAUGAAGGCCCUAUGGGUCGUAAACCUCUUUUGUCAGGGAACAAAAGCGAGUAUGUAUACUAGUCUGAGUGUACCUGAAGAAAAAGCAUCGGCUAACUCCGUGCCAGCAGCCGCGGUAAUACGGAGGAUGCGAGCGUUAUCCGGAUUUAUUGGGUUUAAAGGGUGCGUAGGCGGCGGUGCAAGUCAGCGGUAAAAGCCCGGGGCUCAACCCCGGCGAGCCGUUGAAACUGCAGUGCUAGAGAAGGCGAGAGGUACGCGGAAUGCGCAGUGUAGCGGUGAAAUGCUUAGAUAUUGCGCAGAACUCCGAUUGCGAAGGCAGCGUACUGGCGCCUGACUGACGCUGAGGCACGAAAGCGUGGGGAUCGAACAGGAUUAAUACC